rnacentral:lncRNA from 1 species
UUCCCCAGGGAGACACCAGGAAUUCCAGAGAUGGCAUUGCAGCCCAGUUGUGUGUGUCUAGAGGUCACUUUGCUCCUCUGCUUGGGGUCUGAGAAAUCAGGAGAAGAACCCUGUGGCUAUGGAGUGCCGACAUGAGAGUGUCUGCCAAGAUCAAAAUGUUCCCCAUCUUUGCGAGUAGAUGAGAUCUUAGAACCUGGAAUCACAGAGUCCCAGCUCCAGCAGGGCUUCUGGCAACAGCCCCUGUGUCUUCAGCUACAGACAUCACCUCUGAAGAUGCCAAGAAAAGCAAACACAGGCCCCGAUCUCUUCUUGCACCAACUGGAAAGGAGCCCACAGCAGCAGAGGAACUGAGCUGAGAGGACAGCGCUUUUAGGACUCUGAGUUUCCAACCGCCCCCACCUCCCAGCCCUCCACCCCCACCCCCGCAUCUGAAUCAGUCAAGCAAACAGCAGACUUGCAAUAAAACCUGCAGGUGUGACUACUUUCUACUCCGAGAUGCUGGGAUAAAAUGGCGAAUAAAGCUGGGAGGUGCAGUACGUCCCAUCUUGCUGGGACAGGAGGAGCCCCGCUGUGGGAACGGACUCCUUUUAGUAGCCCAAACUUGUGUCCUUCCACAUACUCUCUAGACAGAGCUUGAGAAAUUCUUCCAAGUUUCUCUUCCUGGGGAGAAGAGCGGGAGGUAUGAGUGGGAUGGAGAUGACUCUGUAAGCUUAACAAGUCAAGUGACAGAGUACCACGGAGGGACCCUGGCUGUCCAAUCUUGGUGACAAGACCGGAAAGCCCCAACAGGGCGCGCCUUCCUUAGCUUCCGGAGUGGCGAG